CACACCGGAACUGAGACACGGUCCGGACUCCUACGGGAGGCAGCAGUGGGGAAUAUUGGACAAUGGGGGAAACCCUGAUCCAGCAAUGCCGCGUGGGUGAAGAAGGCCUGCGGGUUGUAAAGCCCUUUCGGUGGGGACAAAAAGCGUCGUGCUAACACCACGAUGUCUUGAUUUAACCCACUAAAGAAGCACCGGCUAACUCUGUGCCAGCCGCCGCAGUAACAC
rnacentral:rRNA from 1 species